rnacentral:rRNA from 1 species
UACGAAGGGUGCAAGCGUUACUCGGAAUUACUGGGCGUAAAGCGUGCGUAGGUGGUUUGUUAAGUCUGCUGUGAAAGCCCCGGGCUCAACCUGGGAAUGGCAGUGGAUACUGGCAAGCUAGAGUGCGGUAGAGGGGUGUGGAAUUCCCGGUGUAGCGGUGUAAUGCGUAGAGAUCGGGAGGAACACCAGUGGCGAAGGCGGCACCCUGGACCAGCACUGACACUGAGGCACGAAAGCGUGGGGAGCAAACAGG